GACGAACGCUGGCGGCGUGCUUAACACAUGCAAGUCGAACGGAAAGGCCCUGCUUUUGUGGGGUGCUCGAGUGGCGAACGGGUGAGUAACACGUGAGUAACCUGCCCUUGACUUUGGGAUAACUUCAGGAAACUGGGGCUAAUACCGGAUAGGAGCUCCUGCUGCAUGGUGGGGGUUGGAAAGUUUCGGCGGUUGGGGAUGGACUCGCGGCUUAUCAGCUUGUUGGUGGGGUAGUGGCUUACCAAGGCUUUGACGGGUAGCCGGCCUGAGAGGGUGACCGGCGACAUUGGGACUGAGAUAAGGCCCAGGCUCCUACGGGAGGCAGCAGUGCGGAAUAUUGCACAAUGGGCGGAAGCCUGAUGCAGCAACGCCGCGUGCGGGAUGACGGCCUUCGGGUUGUAAACCGCUUUCGCCUGUGACGAAGCGUGAGUGACGGUAAUGGGUAGAGAAGCACCGGCUAACUACGUG
rnacentral:rRNA from 1 species